rnacentral:tmRNA from 1 species
GGGCUUUCGUCGCGCCAUCUUGCCCCCUAUAUUGAGCGGGCCGGUUCGCCGGCUACGGAAAUAAAUGGCCGUCGCAAUAAACCAUUCGGACCCGGGGGCAGCACCCGGCGCCUCCACCCAAGUUCCUCGGGAUCGCGCCAGGAACUUCGGCGGGGGCGAAACAGGAUCGACGAGGGCGUAAAGGGCGUGUUUUUUCUCGGUAUGGUUCCGCCGUUAUCGGGCUAUGCAAUAGUUGCAAACGACAACUAUGCUCCGGUUGCUCAGGCUGCGUAACGCAGUUUGAAAGACCAAGUCUAAAGUCCUAGUGGGUUAAGCUCCGCUAGGCGGGGUCCGGAGGCACCUGGCAACAGAAGCCUCCACU